GGGUUGUGAGGUUAAGCGACUAAGCGUACACGGUGGAUGCCCUGGCAGUCAGAGGCGAUGAAGGACGUGCUAAUCUGCGAUAAGCGUCGGUAAGGUGAUAUGAACCGUUAUAACCGGCGAUUUCCGAAUGGGGAAACCCAGUGUGAUUCGUCACACUAUCAUUAACUGAAUCCAUAGGUUAAUGAGGCGAACCGGGGGAACUGAAACAUCUAAGUACCCCGAGGAAAAGAAAUCAACCGAGAUUCCCCCAGUAGCGGCGAGCGAACGGGGAGCAGCCCAGAGCCUGAAUCAGUGUGUGUGUUAGUGGAAGCGUCUGGAAAGGCGUGCGAUACAGGGUGACAGCCCCGUACACAAAAAUGCACAUACUGUGAGCUCGAUGAGUAGGGCGGGACACGUGGUAUCCUGUCUGAAUAUGGGGGGACCAUCCUCCAAGGCUAAAUACUCCUGACUGACCGAUAGUGAACCAGUACCGUGAGGGAAAGGCGAAAAGAACCCCGGCGAGGGGAGUGAAAAAGAACCUGAAACCGUGUACGUACAAGCAGUGGGAGCACGCUUAGGCGUGUGACUGCGUACCUUUUGUAUAAUGGGUCAGCGACUUAUAUUCUGUAGCAAGGUUAACCGAAUAGGGGAGCCGAAGGGAAACCGAGUCUUAACUGGGCGUUAAGUUGCAGGGUAUAGACCCGAAACCCGGUGAUCUAGCCAUGGGCAGGUUGAAGGUUGGGUAACACUAACUGGAGGACCGAACCGACUAAUGUUGAAAAAUUAGCGGAUGACUUGUGGCUGGGGGUGAAAGGCCAAUCAAACCGGGAGAUAGCUGGUUCUCCCCGAAAGCUAUUUAGGUAGCGCCUCGUGAAUUCAUCUCCGGGGGUAGAGCACUGUUUCGGCAAGGGGGUCAUCCCGACUUACCAACCCGAUGCAAACUGCGAAUACCGGAGAAUGUUAUCACGGGAGACACACGGCGGGUGCUAACGUCCGUCGUGAAGAGGGAAACAACCCAGACCGCCAGCUAAGGUCCCAAAGUCAUGGUUAAGUGGGAAACGAUGUGGGAAGGCCCAGACAGCCAGGAUGUUGGCUUAGAAGCAGCCAUCAUUUAAAGAAAGCGUAAUAGCUCACUGGUCGAGUCGGCCUGCGCGGAAGAUGUAACGGGGCUAAACCAUGCACCGAAGCUGCGGCAGCGACGCUUAUGCGUUGUUGGGUAGGGGAGCGUUCUGUAAGCCUGUGAAGGUGUGCUGUGAGGUAUGCUGGAGGUAUCAGAAGUGCGAAUGCUGACAUAAGUAACGAUAAAGCGGGUGAAAAGCCCGCUCGCCGGAAGACCAAGGGUUCCUGUCCAACGUUAAUCGGGGCAGGGUGAGUCGACCCCUAAGGCGAGGCCGAAAGGCGUAGUCGAUGGGAAACAGGUUAAUAUUCCUGUACUUGGUGUUACUGCGAAGGGGGGACGGAGAAGGCUAUGUUGGCCGGGCGACGGUUGUCCCGGUUUAAGCGUGUAGGCUGGUUUUCCAGGCAAAUCCGGAAAAUCAAGGCCGAGGCGUGAUGACGAGGCACUACGGUGCUGAAGCAACAAAUGCCCUGCUUCCAGGAAAAGCCUCUAAGCAUCAGGUAACAUCAAAUCGUACCCCAAACCGACACAGGUGGUCAGGUAGAGAAUAC
rnacentral:rRNA from 1 species